CGUAAGAUGAAUGUACAAAUCCCACGCUGCCAAGAAAAACUUCUAACGUUAAUAUAUGACUGCCCGUACUGUAAACCGACACAGGUGGUCAGGAUGAGAAAUCUAAGGCGGACAGGCUAACUCUCGUUAAGGAACUCUGCAAAAUAACCUCGUAACUUCGGGAGAAGAGGAGCCCUUGUGUGUUAGUAUACACGCGAUACAAAGCGCACGAGGGUCGCAGUGAAGAGGCUCAAGCAACUGUUUAACAAAAACACAGGUCUAUGCUAAGCUGUAAGGCGAUGUAUAUGGGCUGACACCUGCCCAGUGCUGGAAGGUUAAGAGGAGGAGUGAGAGCUCCGAAUUGAAGCCCCAGUGAACGGCGGCCGUAACUAUAACGGUCCUAAGGUAGCGAAAUUCCUUGUCGGGUAAGUUCCGACCUGCACGAAUGGUGUAAUGAUUUGAGCGCUGUCUUGACGGGAGGCCUGGUGAAAUUGUAUUACCGGUGAAGAUACCGGUUACCUACAGUAGGACGGAAAGACCCCAUGGAGCUUUACUGUAGCUUGGUAUUGGGUUUUGGCAUUGCAUGUAUAGGAUAGUUGGGAGACUAUGAUGGUAUGGCGCUAGCUGUAUCGGAGUCAUCGGUGGAAUACCAACCAUUCAAUGCUGAAAUUCUAAUCUGUGGUUUGUCGCCACGGAGACAGUGCUAGGUGGGCAGUUUGACUGGGGCGGUCGCCUCCGAAAGAGUAACGGAGGCGUUCAAAGGUUCUCUCAGGUUGGAUGGAAAUCAACCAUAGAGUGCAAUGGCAUAAGAGAGCUUGACUGCAAGACUGACGGGUCGAGCAGAUGCGAAAGCAGGACAUAGUGAUCCGGCGAUUCCGAAUGGAAGGGUCGUCGCUCAACGGAUAAAAGCUACCCUGGGGAUAACAGGCUGAUCCUACCCGAGAGUCCAUAUCGACGGUAGGGUUUGGCACCUCGAUGUCGGCUCAUCGCAUCCUGGGGCUGGAGAAGGUCCCAAGGGUUGGGCUGUUCGCCCAUUAAAGCGGUACGUGAGCUGGGUUCAGAACGUCGUGAGACAGUUCGGUCCCUAUCCACUGUAGGCGUUAGAAUAUUGAGAAGACCUGUCCUUAGUACGAGAGGACCGGGAUGGACAAACCUCUGAUGUACCAGUUGUCACGCCAGUGGCACAGCUGGGUAGUCACGUUUGGAAUAGAUAAUCGCUGAAAGCAUCUAAGCGAGAAACUAACUUCAAGAUAAGUAUUCUUUAAGAUACCUUUGAGACUAGGAGGUUGAUAGGUUGGAGGUGUAAGUACAGCAAUGUAUUUAGCUGACCAAUACUAAUUAUCAAAGUUUUAAUCUA
rnacentral:rRNA from 1 species